GGCCUGGUAGCGGAGGGUUUCGCGCCUGCACCAUAUAAAUGUGCCAACUCGUUCCAGCAGGAGUGCUCGUUCAACUCGGGCCCGGGCCA